rnacentral:lncRNA from 1 species
GGACAGGUGAGGCUGUGGAGCCAAUGCAGCCAUCUGCUAAAGGAGCAGCACCUGGCUGCUGGGAGCAGUGCCCUUGUCCUGGGGUGCUGUGUGCCCUCUGCAUGAGGAGCAUCUUGCUGCAGUAGGGAUGGAAAACACAGCUGGCUUCUGAGCAAAGCCUGAUGUGAUGCUCAACUGAUCCAAAGGUGAGACUGCAGCAUUGGGUCCCUGUUCAUCUCCCAGGGCUGUUGUCAGAGGGCAGGCACUGCUGGGUCACCCACCCUCUCCAGUCUCCUUUCUCAGACUGGUCUCAGGAGAGUGACACCUGUUGGGAAAACAUCAGGGUUUUCAGUACACGGUUUCUUUUUUCUGAAUAUUGGACAUGCCUGCUUGAUGGGCAUAAUGGAUAAGUUUGAGUUUGAGUGGUUCUGCUUAGCUGAUUGGUUUAAUUGAUUGGUUAGGUUUAAUUGAUUGGUUUUGAUACAGGGUUCCUAGUUGCCAGAGACAUCAGGCUGCAUGGCCAGUGAAGAGUAGGCAAUGCUCAGCCAAUCAUCCAUAUAUAUUCAUACAUAAAUGAGUAUAUUAUUUUGGGGCAAAAUAGUUUAACAUCUGCCUGAAGUUAUGGACAUGAGGUCUAUGUGGUCAAGGAAACACGUGGUCAAAUGUCAAAAUAAUGGCUAGGAACAGGGAGAGCCAAUGCAGU